UGUCUGACAGAUGUGAGACCAGCUGCAAGUCAUUCAGUUAUUAACACUGACUCUAACACUACUCCCUGUGUACAGUGCCCGCUUGUAUCUCAGACUGAGACCAUGCACUGGGUCACAUGUCUAAACAUAAGAUAAACCACACCUUCCUCCAAAAUGCACGAUGGGAGAUGAGCCUUAUUCUGCCAGAUAGUUUAAAUGUCAACUCGCUACAGCCUAAGAUUAUUUGGAAAGAACUUUAAUUCAGGAAUUGAGGAAUUGCCUAGAUCAUGCUAGAUUGUGGGCAUUUCUGGGGUUGGGGUGGGGUCUUUAUUGUUAACUGAUAUACCCAGUCCAUUAUGGGCGGCACCAUUCCCUGUGCUGGUAGCCCUAAAGUGUAUAAGUGAAAAGAGUUAGCUGAGCACAGGAAACCUAGCAGGCAGUAGAGAUGUGUCCAUUUCUCUACUCUUGACUAACUACCUGCUCUGAGUUCCUGCCUUAACUCCCCUCAACUGAAAGACUGUUCCCUGAGACUGUAAGCCAAAUAAGCUCUUUUCUCUUCUAGGCUGCUUUUGGUUUAUCGUAACAAUGUAAGUAAAACUAGACACACACCUUCCUCCAAAAUACCUGUUAGGUCCUAGAAAGAGCAGACUCUUCUCUCCAUCCACCAAGAAUGGGAGCAUCAAGAGAUUCAGUGGUUACAAGGAACUUCCUAAGCAUCUCUGCCAGAGGCCAGAAGAGCCCUGCAAUGCUGCGCGAAACUCAGAUCCAGGGAGCAAGAGACACAGAGGCCACCCCAUGGUACUUUGAAAAACUGAGGCAAAGUACACAUGGGACGUGGGCUUCCUUGUCUCAUCCUCUGUCCGCCCGCUGAGAACAAGGUUGUUUUGAAUGUUCUUAAGAGAUGGAUGUGUACCCACCUCCCCUCUGAGGGAAGAAGAAGCAGAACCUGGGACCGACCAGUAGCUGUGGCAGAAGAGGUCAGGCCUGCCAGUCAAGGACAGACGGUGUCCCAGGCAGAGGUUGUGAAGCCUGAGUAGGACCUAGGAGCCUCCUGCCCGAGCCCUAGGCCAGAGAGAACAGUGAGUAGAGGCCACAGUGGCUCCCGUGUCCUCCCAGACACUUUCCCGAUAAGCCAGAAAUUGCACAAACUUAGCCGUCUCAGAAUCUGAGGGCAGACACUUGCAGCAUCGCGGCAAACAUCGGGAACAGCAGUGUGCAUAGCUGCAUCAGAUCUGAGAACAUUUUACUCUCAGAGAGUCACACCGCGCAGGAUCUAAUGAUUCCAGCUGAGGCAGCACACGGAGGUGUCAGCAGCACAGUGACGUUGAGAGGCAGGGAAAGCUGAUCGUUAAAAAUAGGUGAAGCUGAGCCAAAAAACUUGAAAAAAGAAACAAAACAUUAUAGUUCAUACUGGAGAGAAACCUACUAGUGGAUCUGAAGUUGGGGUUUUAGAAGCGUGUGUGAUGCUGAUAACGAUGAGUUGUCCCACUGAGAGCUCUCUAAACUCCACGAAAAUGUGUUCGGUGGCCUACUGUGGCCUACAGGCAGAACCAUGUUUUCAUGAGUAGUUUUACUGGGAGCCACCACUCUCCUCUGUUUGCCUCUAUCUGUAGCAGCCUUCCCUCCAUGGCAUUGGUUGCGUGGCCCUUUCCAGACGUGCUCCCUGACUCAUUUACCAAAUAAAAUUUGAAUUAUCCUAUAAAUACUUGUACAGAAAAUUUGACCGAUGGAAUUAGAGAUGACUCUGUUGGUAAAGUGCUCAUGGUGCAAGCAUGAGGACCAGAGUUCGAAUCCCUACACCUACGUAAAAGCCAGGUGAAUUGAUACUUACUUCUGUGGUCCCAGUCCUGGGGAAGGAGACAGUCGGGUCUUGGAGUUUACUAGCCAGCUAGCCUAGCCAACAAAUCAGUUCCAAGUUCAGUGAGAACCCCUACUAAAGAGGAAAGCAAUGGAGAAAGGUGCCUGACU